rnacentral:rRNA from 2 species
ACUUAAUUAAUAAAUUAAAACUUUUAACAACGGAUCUCUUGGUUCUGGCAUCGAUGAAGAACGCAGCGAAAUGCGAUAAGUAAUGUGAAUUGCAGAAUUCAGUGAAUCAUCGAAUCUUUGAACGCACAUUGCGCCCCCUGGUAUUCCGGGGGGCAUGCCUGUUCGAGCGUCAUUUCACCACUCA